rnacentral:rRNA from 1 species
GACGAACGCUGGCGGCGUGCUUAACACAUGCAAGUCGAACGGAAAGGCCAGUGCUUGCACUGGUGCUCGAGUGGCGAACGGGUGAGUAACACGUGGGUGAUCUGCCUUGCACUCUGGGAUAAGCUUGGGAAACUGGGUCUAAUACCGGAUAGGAACCGUAUUUAGUGUGGUGGUUGGAAAGUUUUUUCGGUGCAAGAUGAGCUCGCGGCCUAUCAGCUUGUUGGUGGGGUAAUGGCCUACCAAGGCGUCGACGGGUAGCCGGCCUGGGAGGGUGUACGGCCACAUUGGGACUGCGAUAAGGCCCAGACUCCUACGGGAGGCAGGAGGGGGGAAUAGUGCACAAUGGGCGGAAGCCUGAUGCAGCGACGCCGGGUGGGGGAUGACGGCCUUCGGGGUGUAAACUCCUUUCGGCAGGGGCGAAGCGUUAUGUGACGGUACCUUAAUAAGAAGCACCGGCUAACUACGUG